CGUGUCUCUCAGCUGUAGCUCCUUUUCUCCUUCAGAUGCAAAGGAUCAGAGAACAGGCAGCAACAGCUGCUGCUGGUAGCACCAAGGACACUUGGUGACACCUGUGGUGCUGCUGACAAGGGAGUUAAGUGCUGUGCUCGCCCUCCCACAGGGAAGGCAGGAGUUGAGGAUGGUGGUGGUGGCUGCUGUCCUCUCGCAGUGUGGCUGUGAGCUGUGUGUGUCGGGGGAGUGCUUCCCCCACUAUACAGGAACCACUCAUGCCUGUGGUCACACUGGCACUUCUACCGACCCUACUGCACAUGUACUGAGUGUUUAAAACCCCACAGAAAGCGUGCAGGCAGGGCCACACCUGGUGCGAGCCAGAGGUGAAGGUGGCUGUGGCGCUGCUGAUCUGAGAGUAGGACGUGGGUCGUGGUUCAUCAGAGCAGGGCCAUCUGACAAGGCAGCAGGUGCUGUGUUGGACAAAAUGACACUUACCCAAUUACAGGUCAAAACAAUGGGGACUGCAUGUCAGAGGAAAUGCUUGCUCGCUCCCUUCCCACUGCGGCGCUUGGGGAUGCUCCGAACUUGCUAAUGUCAGGCUUGAAAGACAGCACACGGCUUCAGUGAAAAAUGGGAAUUAGAAAUCAGAGCUCCAGACUCUGUCCAGUAAUCUUCAGCAAAACAUGGUGAUAAUUGGAUAUUAGAGGCAGUCUAACUGCAGCAGAUCUGCACAAGGCAAUUUUUUCCUUCUGAAAGCAUAAAUUAACGUGUCUCGUUUGCUGUUUUCCUGCCCAGACUGCUACCGAUACCCAGCUGGCCUCUUCAAAGCUGGCCAGCACCGUGCCUCUCUUGUUGUGGUGAUGCAAGCUGGAAUUCAGACCUCCCCUGAAGGAUUGGAAAAUUGGGGCUCUGAUUUCCAGGGCAAAUUCUGAAUUUUAGGAGCACUUACGGAAAAUGUCAGUCUCUUUCCAGCAAGAGCAGUCUAGUUCAAGCUCCCUUUUGCCACGCAGCCUCUCACAGCCCCUGCCAGGCCGGCCCGUGGGGUGCCCCGGUGGCACCCACACCUGGGACGUGCCCACGGUGGCCCUGCUCACUGGGACAUGGGACCAGAGGCUCCUGCAUGCAUUCCACAUGCAGGGUUUCCACCUCGAAGCUUGUGUUUUGGUGGAGGUGCCCAGUGGAGGAAUAUCUGUCCCUCAUCCUUAGAUGUGUUGAAGAGCAGUUGGGUCACGCCAUGGACUGUGAGUGCUCAAGUUCCUUGAAAAUGCAGGGGAUUGGUUGUUCUUCUAUUCUUAUUCCCCUCCUGUAACAAUUAAUUGAUUUUUUUUUUCAGCCCACUGUGCUAAUUCGUUUUCCUGGCUGUACCUUCUGCCGACGCCGUGUCCUCUCAAGGACAGCCGCACGGUGGGAGCAGGACGGGCUGCAAGGGGUGUUCGUGUGCUCCUGCAUCCACUGAUCCUCUUCCUUGGGUCAGAGCCCCAAAACCCCCACCCUGGGUGGGCACCAGUGUGCUCCCAGCAGGGUGCUGGUGCACGGGAGCACCAGGGCUUACCCCAGCCCUGCUGCCCCCGGGGAGAGCUGUCUGUGGGCUGUGUGUCACCGAUACUGGAUCAGCCACAGAUCUGCAGAUGUGACACAGGAUUCAGGCCUUGCGUUACCCUCCAGAGACUUGCCUUUUCUUCUUUUUUUUUUAAUGAGAACGAGCCCGACACUUUGCUCUUUGCUGCUCCUCAGCUUCUACAGUGUCAUUAGAAUUGACAUUGUUGACAGAAAAUUUUGAAAAUUGUUUGCGUGAUGUGAUAAUAGCGCUCCAUAUUCCUCCUCCAGGUGUGAGAUUUAUUUUUAAUAAACUGUCACACGGCACAUUCGCAGCGGUGGCUCUUCCCACUGUGCAGAUAGCGGGGGAAGGCUACUGAUUCCUCGGGGCCGACUUACCCUGCACGGUGUGCUCUGCAGCAAAAUACGUCAUAAAUCUACAUAACUCCUAGAGUUUGCACCUACUUAAGCUGUAAAAGAGAGAACAUCCAGAAAAAUCUCUUAGUGCCUUCCCACCGAAGGGCUGCUGCUGUUGGAGUAUUGAUGCUGAUGGACUUCUUACACACGGUUACUUUAGAGGAGUAAUUAAUCUCGGCUUUCAGACUAGCAGCUAAACUCUAUGAGCACCUACAUUAAUCUCGCUACUAAAAGCAUCACAUAAGAAAUCUGCUUUAGCACCACAGCAGCAUUUUUCUUUUUUUCUUUUUUUAUUUGGACCUGAAAAAAAAAAGAAAAGGUCCAGAAACUUCAGUGACACUACAAAAAGUUAUGGCGAUAAUUUUAUUUCUGUCUAAAGAAGCCACUCUGCUUUGGAGAGCGCUAUGAAAAUAGUGGGCUUUUAAAAUGAGUUAUCUCUAUAGAUUGUGUGAGGUGAGAUAAGCGAUCAUUUAAAUUCAGACAUCAUUGCAUGAAGCACAACUGGUCUUAAAGGGGAUACAGAGUAAAUCAGAGAUGCGAGUUAAAAAAAAAAUUGCUCUCCGGGAAAGAUGGAGGAUGAGCUCAGGGAACAGCUUUCCUGGGUCGAGAUAAGCUCUUUGAGCAGGAACUGGCAUGUAGAAGCAAAAAGCAUGCUUGGAAGUCAGUAGGAAAGCAGAGAAGGGGGGGAGCUCUCUUUAACCCACUGUUUAAGCUGGAGAAGCUGCUGUGCUUUCAUAGCGCUAAUGCUCCAGAGCUGUCUCAUGGCCCCAAAUCUUUUGACUGCGAAGUAAUCUGCUACAUCUCAGCGCAUCAAAGGGCAUUAUAAAGAGCUGGGGAGCUUCCUGCUCGUCAGCCAGCACUUCGUCUUUCUUCUGGAAGAGACCCAGCAGCAGCUGUUUUUUUUUUUUGGGCCAUGGAGUGCCGGAGCUGCUGCUGAUUCCUGGCCAUUCGCUGCUGAUGGCAGCAAGGGGGGUUCCCAUGGGACGGGUAUAUGAGAGCUGAGGAUCUCUCUGCACUGCACUGGCAGUGCUUCCUGGGGUGUCAGGCUCAGUGGUUGUCUAAAAGUCUUCCUGUUGUGAAAAAAAAAUGAAAAAUGGGCUCUGCCUUGCCUGUAUGUAAUGAAUAAACGCAGGCAAACUGACAGUGUUUGGUAAAGAUAGUUUAGAGAGUGUAGAGUUUGAUGGCUUUGGGGAUGGGAAGGACAUUUUAAAAAGUCCUUAAAAAAAGUUAAAAGCUUCUCAGUUCUCAGUGUUACACAAUUGUACUGUGACCCCCAGAAAGGUCCUGCCCCAAAAACCUUUCCUCCCCCUGCAGGACAUCUUCCCUUGAAGUGAAAAUUAACACGGGCUGGAUGCAACAGUUUUGUUUAUGGACUGUGAGAUGGAAAAUGAGAUGGCUUAUAAAAGGGCAACUACGUUUUUUUAUGUCACCUGGUGGAGCGGUGAUGGUGGUGGCAUGCUGCAGUGAAACCAAGCCCACCCUUCUUGUGGCCGGGCUGUGGCAUCGGCUUCGGCAGUGGAGACAGCGGUGUGAGAAGUGAUGGUGCAGUGAAGCCCUGGUGGCCUGGAGGGGCUGAGGAUGGCCUGGCCAGCACUCCCCGA